rnacentral:rRNA from 1 species
ACCCCCCGAAACUGAGCGAGCUACUUUAGAACAGCCCAUAGAGCCAACCCGUCCCUGUCACAAAAGGGUGGGAAGAUUUUGAAGUAGAGGUGACACACCCAUCGAGCCCAGAAAUAGCUGGUUAUUCAGAAAAAGGAUUUAAGUCCCACUUUAAGUUCCUCUUAGUAUUUCUAAACACACCCCCAACUUAAAAGCCAUUCAAGUAAGGUACAGCCUACUUGAACAAGGAAACAGCCUACGAUACAGGGUAAUGGUACCCCCCCGUGACUAAGUAGACUUAAAAGCAGCCACCUUCCAAAAAGCGUCCAAGCUCCCCCACCACCCAUUGUUAAUACCACCAUUUACACACAACCCGCAACCACUACUGAAUGAUCCCAUACCCGUAUGGAAGACAUUAUGCUAGAACUAGUAACAAGAAGAAGAACUUCUCCUAAAUGCAAGCGUAAGCCAAAAUGAACCAUCACCGGCACUUACCGCCUCAACCUGCAGUACUAACUCCCCCACAAGAAAACCCUACUGCCCACGACGUUAACCUUACACCAGC